rfam:Oryza sativa (indica cultivar-group) chromosome 7, whole genome shotgun sequence.
AAUAAGCGUAGUUGUAAGUUUCAGUGUCCAACUUUAACUAUCCAUCUUAUUUAAAAUAUUUUUAUGAUUAGUAUUUUUAUUGUUAUUAGAUGAUAAAAUAUAAAUACUACUUUAUACGUGACUUAACUUUUAAAACUUUUUCAUAAUUUUUUCAAAUAAGACGGACGGUCAAACGUUGGGUACGGAAACUUAUGGUUGCACUUAUA